rnacentral:piRNA from 1 species
UGUCAAUGAAUUACCUGGUCCGGA